rfam:Apaloderma vittatum contig32309, whole genome shotgun sequence.
GGCCACUUAGCUCAGUCAGUUAAGAGCGUGGUGCUGAUAACACCAAGGUCGCAGGUUCGAUCCCCAUUCUGUCCC